UACAGAGGUCUCAAGCGUUGUUCGGAUUCAUUGGGCGUAAAGGGUGUGUAGGUGGCGCCGUAAGUCGGGUGUGAAAUUUCGGAGCUUAACUCCGAAACUGCAUUCGAUAACUGCGGUGCUUGAGGACUGGAGAGGAGACUGGAAUUCAUGGUGUAGCAGUGAAAUGCGUAGAGAGUCAAUGAGGAAGACCGGUGGCGAAGGCGGGUCGUCUGGACAAGUUCCGUGACAC
rnacentral:rRNA from 1 species